UCACAAUCUGUUGCCAUGGAAAGGGCCAUAAUAUCAAACAAUUACAGGACUGAUGGCAUAAGAACAGCACUAUUAGGGACCCCAGGGACAGCUUGUGUCCAAGGUCCAUUACAAUCAAGAUAGCUACAGACCAAAAAUUUUAUGAAAACUGACAGCUUUGUGGAGCAAAGAGAAGUCACAAACUUUCUUGAACCUUACUGAAGGAAUAACUACUGCGUGGUUCAACACUUGGUUGACCUCAGAGUUGACACUGAAUCUCCAGGUUUAGAAACAGAACUGUAGACCUGCAAUCUGUGGAUCACACGUGGAAAUCUCUAAAUUUACUGUGAGUGGCUCCAGUCUGAAUACUUGCUCAACUGAAAACGUUUUGGCUGAAAAAGUGCAUUGUGAUGCUUUAAAUACCUCUCACAAGUAUUUGAAUCCAAAUAUUUUCUAUUUUUACAAAUGCUCAUCAGUUCUCUGACAAGAUUUGUAUUUAAU